rnacentral:lncRNA from 1 species
AUGUAUUCUUUCAUUUUCUACCAAAGUUAUUUACGUAAAUGUCUUCUCCUUUACUAGUCUCUUAGUUUGUUGAAGAAAGGAUGUAUGUCCGAUUCCUCUGCAGUUUCCUGAAAUUCUGGAUACAUAAUGUCACAUAAAUUAGAAAAUAGAAGACUAGAAAGCAGUUUAUGCAUGGCCACACAAAAAUGGAAAGAGCCUCGAACUAGUGAUAUGUCUCUCUUGACAGAGGACCAUUACGUGAUUCUUAUUAAAAUGCC